AAACUUUCAACAAUGGAUCUCUUGGUUCCGGCAUCGAUGAAGAACGCAGCGAAAUGCGAUAAGUAAUGUGAAUUGCAGAAUUCAGUGAAUCAUCGAGUCUUUGAACGCACAUUGCGCCCCCUGGUAUUCCGGGGGGCAUGCCUGUCCGAGCGUCAUU
rnacentral:rRNA from 2 species